rnacentral:rRNA from 2 species
UAGGGAAUCUUCCGCAAUGGACGAAAGUCUGACGGAGCAACGCCGCGUGAGUGAUGAAGGUUUUCGGAUCGUAAAACUCUGUUGUUAGGGAAGAACAAGUAUCGGAGUAACUGCCGGUACCUUGACGGUACCUAACCAGAAAGCCACGGCUAACUACGUGCCAGCAGCCGCGGUAAUACGUAGGUGGCAAGCGUUGUCCGGAAUUAUUGGGCGUAAAGCGCGCGCAGGUGGUUCUUUAAGUCUGAUGUGAAAGCCCACGGCUCAACCGUGGAGGGUCAUUGGAAACUGGGGAACUUGAGUGCAGAAGAGGAAAGUGGAAUUCCAAGUGUAGCGGUGAAAUGCGUAGAGAUUUGGAGGAACACCAGUGGCGAAGGCGACUUUCUGGUCUGUAACUGACACUGAGGCGCGAAAGCGUGGGGAGCGAACAGG